AUACGAACGUAGGCAUGGAAGACGCGGGUAAAAGUGUAUUAUCUGUUCUUAUCAGCUUAAUAUCUGAUACGGAUUGUAUUUCCACCCAAGAUGUUAAACUUGUUUUUGCAAGCUGGUGGAGUGCUUAAAGCCUGCUUCACCUCCGCCGCGGCUCGGCCCGGUAUUGCACAAUCUUCCGGAUCGGUCCACGGUUU